UAGCACCAGCACAUGAUAUGUGAGCAUAAUCUACAAAAUGUAAUACUAGAACAAUAGCAUGUAAUCCAUUAUGCCCGGGGACAUUGAAAAAUGGAAAAUCAAGCAACUCUACUAAGAAAUUGACGGUUACAUCUGCACUAAAGGAAAUUUUACAAAUAAAUCCUCCAACAUUUGUCAAUGUUGUUUAAACGACAACAGCAAGAUAGCACCAACAGCAUCUAAUUCUAUAAAUCAAUAACUACACAAGUACACUUUUUUCAAAAACCAAAAGAAAAAACAUCUACAAGAAAAUAUCAUUCGUUGACAACAAAUUUUGAAAAAAAAAUUCAUUUGCCGGCCUAUUGAGUUACAUUGUAGGAAUUAAAUAGUAGUCCCCUUGAGGAACCAGCAUAUCAAGAUUUCAUUGCAAUAUCACUUGCAGGAUCUUGAUGAGCCAUCCCUGAACUCGGAUUCUAAACAAGAGUAGAACGACCUCCAGCAAUAGCACCAUGUGGAAUGGUAUGGGGGGACUGGACAUCCAAUCUGCUAUGUUGGUUGGUGAAGACAAUGUCUGAAAUGACGUUUAACUUAUUGUUAUUGCAAGUACAUUGGAGAACCAUAUGAAAUUAACUGUUUGUAAGUAGAAAAAUUACACCACUUACACCGUGAAUUCCAAGAGGAAAAACACCCAUUGCGGACAGUGUCAUUCCCAAUUGUGUUCCAACAUUGUACAACAAAUCGGGAUAGGAGUAUGGCAUUGUAUUACCUAACAUAAACACGAAAAUUUUGGACAUAUGCUAA
rnacentral:lncRNA from 1 species